rfam:Bacteroidetes bacterium GWF2_33_38 gwf2_scaffold_437, whole genome shotgun sequence.
GGAAAGGUGUCCGAGUGGCUUAAGGAGCACGCUUGGAAAGCGUGUGUACGCCAAAAGUGUACCGCGGGUUCGAAUCCCGCCCUUUCCG